GCUAUUGCAAUUGCACCGAGCUUGGAGGAAAUACUCGGCAAAUUUUCAAAAGUUGAAAUGUACUUUUAAAAGUUGAUUGACUAUUUUUAUGGAAAAAGUGACAAUUUUCAUGAAAAAUAAUGGCUAUUAAAAAAUAAGGGUGCGUUCCCUUUGCCGUUUUGGAGCCAUUUUCCAUUUUUAGUUUUCGAAAACGUCAAAAACGCGUUUGGUUUCCCAUUUUCAAAAACGCGUUUUCGAAAAAAAAAAUUACUGAAGAAAACGUGAAAAUCACGUUUUGGGCGUUUUCUUCACAAAAGGUGGAAAUUGUGGAAAACGCGAAAAAUGGACACUCUUUCUGGCUGAACACAUUUCUCGACUUCCUCUCUCCUGAGCCUCCUCAACUGUUAGAAUCACCACCUUUCGGCGACGAAACCACCUGCUUCAACCACAAGAAGCCUCGCCUCAUUCCCCUCUACAAUAUCCAACCAACCAUCGGUCACAAAAUCAACCGAAGGCAGUAGAAAAUCCAACCAAAGACACAAAUGUUGCACACAAUUUUCUGCCGAAAAACUCCCAUUUUGGCAAUGCCCACGGUCGUGCACCACCAACAGUCGAUAGCCCUCAUCCAGGCGAACAAUAUCAUGUCCUAACAUCAACCAAUAAUACACCAAUUCGUUGAGAUGUGAAUCUACUCAAAUACGGUAGUAGCGAGAACGAAGCAACGAUAUCGAUUCAUGUUUCUGGCCAAUUUGAAUCAGUCGAUUGGCAUCAGUCGAGGGUGAAUCAUGUCCCUACAACCAUGGGUAACACUUCAAUUUCAUCAAUUCAUGCAGAAAUCAUCGCCGGAAUGAGAGUUUUCGGCCUUGCGACUUGUCGAUUUUGAGCAAAAAUUCCGGCCUAUUCGGCCGGAGUUAGGGCCAAUUGUUGGGUGGGAUUUAUAGACGGCAUUGUAGGCUUCAAGUUGGUACUAUGAUCCGAUGACCAUGGUGGCUGGAAAGUGGGAGAUGAUGCUCCAUAGGUGGCGGUAUUGAGAGUGUGUGUGAAAAUAUUUUCUAAAUUUUGUAAACGAAACACAUUUUCUUAUUUUUUUGUUUUGAGAAAUAGUUUUUCAAAAUGACAUACCAAACGUAUUUUCAACAAUUUGAAAACAAACACUCAAAACACAAAACUCAAAAUAAAAUUGAAAACAGAAAAUAGAAACGCAAAGCAAACGCACCCUAAAAGUUGGGAAAAAUGACUAUUUUCAUGAAAAAUAAUGGCUAUUAAAGAUCAAAGUGUGAAAAAUAACGACAUUUCUUAAUCAAACACAUUUAUUUGAUAACUUUUAUGCAAAUGAUUUCUAGACAACUCCAUUGUCUAGAAUUUUAUUUUAUUUUUAUUUUCAUGCUUGCAAUCAAACACCUCCUAAUUAUAACUAGAGUUCCAAAUUUUUUGAAAAGUACAAACGAGUCUCGAGCUAAUGAAAGAAGAAUAUUUUAUCUUCACAAUUAACCCACCUACCUUAUUCUCCCAACCUCCUCUUCCUCCUCCACCACCAAAUAAUUAAAAAGAGAAUAAAAAAAUAUAUAUAUAAAAAUAAAAAUAAAAAAAGGUAAGCAAAGAAUUAAAAAUAGAAAAAAGUUGAAAAAAUAACAAAAUGGUCUUCUUCCUUAUCCACUUUUGCACCCUUACCACCGGCCACCACCAAUUCUCCCCAUCCCAUUGCAACACCAUCCAAAAAUUUAGCUAUUUUCUUGCCAUCAAGUUUCAUUUUUUAAUAUCUUUUAAUUUUCAGCGAAAUUACAGGGAUUUCACUAUUUUCAACAAUUUUUUUUCAACUUCUUGUUACUUAAUAGACAUACAGAUAUAAUAUGAAUUUUUAUUUUUAGUACAUUUUAAAUUAAUUUUAAGUGGGAUUUGUUUGCACUAUUUGAAAGUUUUUAGGAUUUUCACUGCAAUUAUUUAUUUCUUUUUUAUUUGUUUAUGUAAAGAAAAUGGUAAAUUAAUCAUCUUACAAUGCUUUAAUGGAGAAAAUAGACACGUGUUCCAUGCUACGUGGGUUAGAGCGUAAGCUAGUGAUAAUUUCGACUACUGAAAUUUCUACUUAUAGGGUGCAACAUUCGUGCUACGUCGUCCAGCAACAUGAUGCUUGAAAUGCUCCCCCAACAACCCCGUCUUAAUGGUUUAGUUUGUUCCUUCAUCCCAACCUCAAAUAGGCUAUAUCGAGACUACAAUUAUUGCUUUUGGGUUCUUUCCCCAACUAGUCGUCCCUAUAUUGGUUAGAAGGGCCAACUAUGUAUCAAAAUUGAAGUGGAGAUUGCGUAUGCAUGGAUAAAUCUCGAACAUCUCGCUCAAAUUGAAUCCUUCCAAUAUC
rnacentral:lncRNA from 1 species